UUAUUCAGGUGUUAACCUGCUUUGAACAUUCCAAUUUUUCUAAAGUAAGCUUGAUGUUCACUUAACAUACCAGUGGAGAUCAUCAAAAGAAACUGGAUGACUGUUAAGAAUAGGCAGUAACCAUCAGCAGGUAGACGACCGUCUGGAACGGCGAAGCGCUUUUAUUAGACCCAAACCAUUCAGACCUCGUGUCUGUACUUUGUGCGAACUAUGUAUAAAUUUGGACUGAUUGUACGGGUUCAUCAUGGCAACAUCAUUCAAAAGCGUCUGCCUUAGUAGCGGUCGAUGGUUGGUUACGCACCUAGCAUAGUCGUAAUGGGUGAUGGAGUCAGGGUGGAGCCUGAGAAAGGGCUAUCACGUUCAAUUAAAGAAGAAGACGCGCAGGUUACCCACUCCCAGAAUGGGGAGGUAAUGAGGAAAAAUAAAAAUACGGGACUCCUUUUGUAACCCCUUACUUGGAAUGAGUACACUUUAAACCUUUUAAUGAGGAUCAGCUGGAGGAUAAGUCUCGUGUCAGAAGCUGCGGUAAUUCCGAGU
rnacentral:ncRNA from 1 species